UACGUAGGGGGCAAGCGUUGUCCGGAAUCAUUGGGCGUAAAGAGCGUGUAGGCGGCCAGAAAAGUCCGCUGUGAAAACUCGAGGCUCAACUUCGAGCUGUCGGUGGAAACUUUCUGGCUAGAGUCCGGAAGAGGAGAAUGGAAUUCCUGGUGUAGCGGUGAAAUGCGCAGAUAUCAGGAAGAACACCCGUGGCGAAGGCGGUCCUCUGGGACGGUACUGACGCUGAGACGCGAAAGCGUGGGGAGCAAACAGG
rnacentral:rRNA from 1 species